rnacentral:rRNA from 1 species
GACGAACGCUGGCGGCGUGCUUAACACAUGCAAGUCGUACGGUACGGCCCUUUCGGGGGUACUCGAGUGGCGAACGGGUACGUAACACUUGAGUAACCUGCCCACACCCUUGGGAUAACGCUAGGAAACUGGUGCUAAUACUGGAUAUGUGCUCCUGCUGCAUGGUGGGGGUUGGAAAGCUCAGGCGGUUGUGGAUGGACUCGCGGCCUUUCAGCUUGUUUGUCGGGUUGUGGCCUACCAAGGCCGCGACGGGUAGCCGGCCUGAGAGGGUGACCGGCCACGUUGGGACUGGGAUACGGCCCAGACUCCUACGGGAGGCAGCAGUGGGGAAGAGUGCACAAUGGGCGCAAGCCUGAUGCAGCAACGCCGCGUGCGGGAUGACGGCCUUCGGGUUGUAAACCGCUUUCAGCAGGGACGAAGCUUUUUGUGACGGUACCUGCAGAAGAAGCACCGGCUAACUACGG